AGGCGCGGCGAGGCGGGUGGCGCGCGGCAGCAGGGUUGGGCUCUCGCCGUGAGUCGACGAAGGGAGCGCGGGCGCGCGCCCGCGUCCGCGCACUGAGAGUCGCCUCGGCCGCUCGCUUUCUCGACUCCCGCCUCGCGCCUCGAUCCUGUUCCGCCUCCCUCGGCCCUCCUGCCCGCCCCCACUCGUCGGCCCUCAGCUCAGAGACCUAAUAGGAUGGGGUCUUAGAGAAACAUCUUUUGAGCCACAGACUUCUUUGUUACCAGAAGGAAAAUGAAAGAAGAAAUUUAAAUACCACUUGAAGAGAGAGAGUGUGAAGAAAUGACCCUGAAAAGCCUCUGGCAGAGGAUUCUUCUUUCAGGAUGGUGUCGCCUCCUCAGCAGCCCAUCCUCCUCCCCUGGACUCAAGCUCUCAUUCCAGUAACACUCCUUCCUCCUUCUCCAUCUUCAGGGGGAGGUUUGCCAGUCGGUGGGUUCUAAGCAUAUCUCGCUGAUUCCCCCCAACCCUGCCGACACCUCUGUAGGUCGUCCCUUCAUUAAAAUCUCUCCAUUUGAACUAUCUGAGUUUAAUUCCAUUUCCUCCUGGUAUCUCAGUGAUACACGGUAUCAGUACAAAAAUCUCGCUUCACCUUCAGAACCAACAGAUUUGAGACAUUUUAUCCUCUGUGGAACCAUUAGUUAUUUUGUCAUUGGUUGUAUCAGAAAAAAAAAUCAGGAAUGCAAAUCCUUCUUUAUUACAGAUUCAGAUUUGCAUAUUACCAAUGUUAUAUAUUUUAAACAAAACUAUUCAUCAUAAGUUUUAAAAAUUAACUACUGGAGUAGUUAAUGAAUCUGAAUGUAAUUAUGUAGCUUUCAUAAUAUUAAAGUAAAAAUACUAAAAGAAGUAUUUCUUAAAGAAGCAAAUGCUCAAUCUCCAAGUAAAUUUUAUUCUAUGCUCUUCCGGUAUAAGAAUAUGUUAAUAUCUUGAAAAAUAUCAUAUUAUUUUGUGAACUCAUAAAGCUAUUUUGAGUUUUUGUAAAAUGAAAACCUUACCAAAAUGUAUUUUAUUGUUGGAAAGCUUGACCGUUACUGCUGUUUAAUUUUUUGAGCUUGUAAACUUUAUUUGUGCAUGUUUUCAACAAAGAAGGAUUUUAUUGUUAUUACAUAAAACAGGUGAUUUCUAGAUUUUAAAAUCACAAAUUGAAAGCAAGGCACAAUAAUAUAUAUUUCAAGAUAUAGGUACUUAGGAGGCAUCCUUUUAGUCAUCUGUUCAAUGUAGCCAUCUAUUUUACACCUACUGUCUACUAUUGUUUGAGGUCCUUGCCAAAGUAUUGCAGGCUAGUUAGGAAACAUAAAACAAUUAGAAAGUAAUCUAUGACAAGUAAGCUAUCUAUAAAUGGCAAUGAAGGGUAGAACAAAUUCAAUGAAAAUAUCUAUUUAAUCCUAGUGUUUACUGGUCUAGAAGAAUAGGCUGAGUAAAUUAGUAUUUCUCUGGCUGUUGUGGUAACACAUUGCAUGCUAUAACAGUUUUAAGUAAUUACAGGUGCAUUGAAAUUUAUCUAUGGCUUUGUCAUCAUAUUCUAAAAUGUCAUGAGUACUUUUUUCUGACCUCAAUUACUAUGAAAUUGGUUUCCAAUAUUUAAUUAACCAAGAAUAUCAAGUCUAUAGGGUAUUAUUAAGGUGAGACUUCUGUAGCCUUUUCAAUAAAGACCAGAAUUUUGGAGUGCCUUGAACCUUAAUCAUUGAUCUUUAAUUCUUAUUAAGUCAACUGCCCACCUUUUAAAGACUGAGGCCCAGGAAGAGUAAGUUUCUCUGAGACAAUGCAUACAGUACAGUGCUUCUUGGGUAUUGGCUCUAAGACCAGAUGCAAAGAAAGGCUAAAAUCCCAUUUCAUUGUUCAUUAGGUGAGAACCCUUUGUUAAGCUGUGUAACCUCUGUGCAUAGUUUCCUCAUCAGCAAAGUCAGAAAAAGUAUGUACCUGAAGGACUGAUUGUAAGGCUGGGAUGAGAGAAUCCAUGUGAUCAGCCCUCACCAACAGGUGCUGCCCAGUUCAUGAGUGCUGCUGCUGUCCUGCCCAAGUACCCAGCUUGCAGAGUGCCAGAGUUAGAGUCCCAGGGGUGUUCUCCACAGCUGCAUGCUUGAUCCAGGCCUAUCAGAUAUAUUCCAUUGAAAGUCCUCAUUCUCAAAUUUAAAACAAAGACUUUUUGUGUACCUCAAUAGCAAUGCACACACAGUUGGCUUCACAAACAUAUUGUACAUUUCUUUUUUUCAUAUUUAUUCAACAAAUGUAUAUUGACUACCCACCGUGUGACAGGUGUUAUUUGUUGACGGAACCAGGCAUCAUCAGCAAACAAAACUGACAAAGCUUCCUGCCCUCUGUGGAAGGCAUCUGAGGAAGAGACUGGAUUUUGUAGCAACAUGUUAUUCUCAUUAUAAACUUUAUCAUUGGAAUACUAAAGCCAAAUCAUCCCCCAUCUCCUUGAUCAGGAUACCCACUUAAUCUAGGCAGCUACACAAUUGUGAGAGCCUUUGUUUUUUUCUGCUGAAACAUCCUUAAAAAGAUACCUCACAACCCAAGAUUUGGCUUUUCUUAAAUACGAUUUUUAAUUUUUUUCAUUUCUAUCUAGAGAUUUAAUUGGAAAUGGAAAAUCAUCAAUUUUCCAAUUAAAUGUCUGUUCCAAUCAACAUUAUACCUUUUAGGUUGUCAUUGUCAUUUUUAAGUUUAAGCAACUUUAAGGAUUUUGAAUCUGGCUGCCUGUAAAUUAAAGGUGAAAGUAAUCAUUGUGUUGGAUUGGAACAUUUUGUCAAUUGAGAGUGGUUUCCUUGUUCUUAGUGUAUGAAAAGUUUAUUUUUCUAAUGUAGAUUAAUAAAGGAGAUAAAGAAAAACAAAAUGAGU
ensembl:lncRNA novel transcript, antisense to CBLN1